AGAAACACUGGCCACUCAGAUUAGAACACGUUUCUGUUUGCAAUCACAGCUUUUCUGUCGCUUAAAGGGUGUUUUAAGACAUUAAAAGUACAAGGAAAAUGUAGCAGAUGGGCGAUAAUGCGCGUAGCGGUGAGUUGGCUAAACCAACAUCUCCAUUGCACUUUUCUUUCUGGAAUUUAUGUGUGCUUGUUUACAAAAGUCCAUAUUUUCGUUGGAGCAAACAUUUGGGUUUGUUGGAGGUGAGAAGAGUACGCAAAGGACGGGGCUGCUGAGGAGGAGAAGGAUGGCUUUUGGGAAUUACGCAUAGGCUUUGUCUGCAAGGCAAGGAGUGGGUGGCGGCUUUCUGUGAACCCUACUCCGACCUACACACAUUUUUUACAGGGUUAUUCUGAGGGAAUGAUUUAGGACCCCUUUCCCACGGAUGGAAAUACAAUGAACAACAAUUCAUUUUUUUCAAAACAAAAAGUUAUUUAUGAUACUGCAGAAGAUCCUCGUGAAACGUGUGUUAUUAUGGAUGUGCCCAUGCGGAGGAGGAGCGGAACAAGGCCACCGCAAGAGCUUCUGAGUUGCCCACGCGCUAGAGGAGACAAAACAAGAGGCCUACAAUGUUUUCGUGAUUUAUUGUCACUACAAAUUAAAUAUGAUGUUAUAGAUUAUUAAUGGUAUUACAGAUUAUGAGAAAAUGGGGAUAAUGUUGUUUUUAUGAAAUAGCCUACCCUCUAAAGUCCUACCAGUUUUUUUCUACCUCACAAAUUAGGCUAUUUAUGGGAUAUUAAGGUGUUUAUUAUUACUAUUAUUCUUAUUAUUAUUCCUUCCUUAUUGUAGUUUGUGCCGUUGUGUUCUACGUUCAAAUUCCCUCCAAAUUAAGGUUGAAAGAUACAUUUCUAUCGAAAACCAUUUCUUUAUUUAUCCGAACUGCAGCAUGAUGGAAUGUAUGACAUUGAAACAGAAACUUGGUAAUAUCUUAAAUAUUUUUUUUUGCAAUAAAAAAAAUGAUAAUGUC